rnacentral:lncRNA from 1 species
UAUGCCAUGGGGCUAUGUGGACUGAAAAGUGAUGAACCAGAGAGAGAGCUGGAAAGCAAAAUGAACUCUCUGACACAGCAGGAAGGGAAAUUAACCUGGUUGAUGCUCACCUUAAGAGUGAGCAAACAGAAGCAAGCACCAGGCAAAAUUCCCAAGUACUGCUAUCAGAAACUGGAAUUUAUGAUAAUGACCCUGACCUUUGUUUCAGGAUGCAGGAAGGGUCUGAAGUUUAUUCUAAUCCAUGCCUGGAAGAAAACAAACCAGGCAUUGUUUAUGCUUCCCUGAACCAUUCUGUCAUUGGACCGAACUCAAGACUGGCAAGAAAUGUAAAAGAAGCACCAACAGAAUAUGCAUCCAUAUGUGUGAGGAGUUAAGUCUGUUUCUGACUCCAACAGGGACCAUUGAAUGAUCAGCAUGUUGACAUCAUUGUCUGGGCUCAACAGGAUGUCAAAUAAUAUUUCUCAAUUUGAGAAUUUUUACUUUAGAAAUGUUCAUGUUAGUGCUUGGGUCUUAAGGGUCCAUAGGAUAAAUGAUUAAAAUUUCUCUCAGAAACUUA